AUGCUGCUAAACAGGCCCUGGUGCAAUGACUGGCUUCAGCGAUGUGGGUGGCCCAAUUCAUAUUUCUGUCAAUUCUGCUUCAGAAACCUCGAGACGGUUGACCACAUAUUCUGGUCGUGCCCUUUCACCACGGCAAUCUGGAGCAGCCUGUCAUCUUGGAUAGGUUGUGAAGCCCUGAGUCUGCAAUCUGCUCGAGCAAUCCACAGUAAUACCUAUCGGAUCAUGGGCAUUGUGGAGGGCACAAAACCUGAGUUCAGAAAAGGCAUAAGAUCACUGACGAUGCUAGCAGCUUGGGAAAUCUGGAGGCACUGGAACGACUGCAUGUUCAGAAACAAGGAGGCAUCUAGGCGAGAGGUUCUGCAGGCCAUCAGACGGGGUAUUGACCUAUGGAGACAGGCUGGAGCAACCUGUUUACUGCACCAGUUCACGCUACCACCAGAGGGGAUAAGCUGA
rnacentral:rRNA from 1 species